GUUAGUCAUCUAUAUAUCAUAUUAGUUUAAACAUAUUUUAUUUGCUCAAAAACCAGUUGUAUCUUUAUUUGCUGAAAUAGAAGUUGAAUAAGAUACAAGUAAAAAAAACGUAAAGGAAAAAAACGAUGGAAGAAAACAUUAGAUAUAUUAUUUGUUUCCUAACUUUAAAAGACAGUAGGUUUAACAAGCAUUAGCGAAAGUAACUAUAGGUGUAUCAGUUACAGUAGGUUUAACAAGCAUUAGCGAAAGUAACUAUAGGUGUAUCAGUUACAGUAGGUUUAACAAGCAUUAGCGAAAGUAACUAUAGGUGUAUCAGUUACAGUAGGUUUAACAAGCAUUAGCGAAAGUAACUAUAGGUGUAUCAGUUACAGUAGGUUUAACAAGCAUUAGCGAAAGUAACUAUAGGUGUAUCAGUUACAGUAGGUUUAACAAGAAUUAGCGAAAGUAACUAUAGGUGUAUCAGUUACAGUAGGUUUAACAAGCAUUAGCGAAAGUAACUAUAGGUGUAUCAGUUACAGUAGGUUUAACAAGCAUUAGCGAAAGUAACUAUAGGUGUAUCAGUUUCAAAAUGCCAUUAAGAGAAUAAUAUAUGACCAUUGUAAAAGAGAAAUAAAGGAUUUCUAAAUGUAUUCAUUUGUUAGUUUUUAUGGACUUCCCCUUUUUGAAUUUACCUUGUAGUUGGUAUUUUUACUUUUUUUCAGAGUUAAUUAAAAAGUAAUGUAAUAAUCUAGUUACCAUUUCCAUAUAGGAUUUUAUUAAUACAAGAAAAGAAGUCUGAAACUGAAGACAUGAUUCAUUGUUAACAUUGAAAUAAAUAUAAU